rnacentral:lncRNA from 1 species
GGAAGGAAGCUCGUGUCACAGGGAUGUCCCCAAAAAUGUAUUCUAGGUUCAGCCCCUCACAUCUUAUUGGCACCACACUUGAUUUCUCGAAAUUUGUUUUCAAACCCGAGGCUUCUCCAAAUCUGGGAGAAGAUCAUCUAAACCGGUGAUAUCCUGCCUGAUCGGGUUCAAGAAAAUAGUUGUGUUGUCGACGUACAUGGAUGUCCGAAAAUUGAGGGACCUGCCUCUUAGCUUG